rnacentral:other from 1 species
GGCACCCUGCGGUGACCGUGAGCAUCUUGAAGUUCUGAGCCAACACCAACACAUAGGGAGCCCGGGCUCCAGCCGUGGCUCGCAGGCCUCCGUCGGGAGGAAGCGAAAAGCGGUUGGGAGGGCACCCACCUGUUGCGAGACGGGUUCAUGGAAACUUUGGGGGUUCACGGCACGCGCGGGGUUUUU